GAGAGAAGGAAAUAAAACUGGCAUAUUAACCUUUGGCACAACGGUACUCACAUGCUCGCAAUGUUCAGCAGCAGAUGAUAUUACCGUGACUCCCACUAGUAUUGUCAUGUGAAGGGUCUGUCAGAAUUCUUGUUCUAAACCUCUGCAGUCAGAGUUUAUUAAUUCAGCCAUGAGCAUCCGUUCCAGACCUACCUUGGCACGUACAGUUUGAAGAGCAAAAUCUUUCUCGGUGCAACUUCCCUUCCCUGGUCAACACUGUAUUUAAAGCCUCAAAAUGCAAAACAGUAAAGCAGAAAUUUGUGAAAUGUAGCACUUUCCCAUCACCAUCGUACUUAAAAUCAUGGAACAACAACAAAAUAAAUUAAAAGAGAAAUUCAUGAAACAUAGCAUUCCACAGCUUGCCAUAAGCUCACUGGAUGUCUUGCUUCCCAGCUGUCCUUUUAAGAACAGCCAAUUCUUCCUUCAGAGAGUGAACUCCUUCCAGUAGUUCAAAAGGACAAGGUGCACAAAUAAGCAAGAUAUGCUUAGAUAGGUUCAGAUAUAUUUUUAGAAGUGGCUGCAUUAGAGAAUACUCAUGCACUCCCAUCCCCUUUCUCAACAACAGAGAAGCUGAAUGACAUAUUUUUAAUAGGCCAGACAUGGAAGUUUUAAUUGCACUCACAUUUUUAAGGUGAAAGGGGCAUAAACUCCAAAGUAUUUGGAGCACUUUUGAAAACUGGCCUUCGUGGUAUUACAACACAGAGCAAACAAUACUUACACAUGUUAAAAACCAGCCAUAAAGCUAUCACACAGCUUUUCCAAGAUGAACUUUAUAAUAAACAACUUGCAAAUGAAAUCUAACACAGUCUCAGACAAAAGCAUCAUAUAAAAUGAGCCUUCCUCGUGAAAUAAUGACAGCAUGUGAAUAUGUGACAUUUUGGUCAGAAGUUUCAGACAAAUUAUCUGUACAACAGCUUGGGGUGUCCAUUGGUAGGGUUUCUUCAUUCGUCUUGGAAGUGAAAAAAGGUUCACCACAUACAAAGGACAUCAAGAUAACCUGUUCCAUGACUUCACCUGGAGAACACUUAGCUUUCAGAGCAGCAGAGAUACAAUCUAACCGCAGUCCAAGUGAGAACAUCUCUCUUUAUUUCAAAGAGUGACUCACAAAAGAUAGAGCAUUCAGCCAAAACUUUCAGAGCUAAACAAGUCUACAAAGUUGACGUGAAUAAAAUGAAUCCUGAGAGAUAUUAACCAGGACAAUAAGGCAAGUUCUGGAGUCCACUUGCAUUUCCCUUGCCUGUGCAAUGGCAGUGGAACAAGUUGAGGAUACAAUGGUGGAAACUGUCAACUGGCUAAUUAGCUAUUAGAUUAGAAAAAGUAGUUUUACCAAAAUAACACAGGGCUAUAGCAAGACAUGUUCAUAUUACACAGCUUUAAAUGACGGCUAGACUGAUUCACUGCUGAAGCCGAUCUUAUCUAGUAAGUUUAUAAUAUUUCCUUAUGUCAGAGCAAGAGCAACAACAUUUUGUUACUUGUUGUCAGUGACACAUCUCCAGCUAACUGUCAAAGCUGUUCACAGAUGCCCUGAUAACAAAUUAGAUGCAACAUUACAGGAUGAGAUUUUUACAGGCGUU
ensembl:lncRNA